rnacentral:other from 1 species
AUGACCCUGGGGUGUUUGCCAGUCAUAAUGUCCUUGAGCCGAUACUACCCAACCGGGAAUCUCUUCUUGGGUUGUUGUGCAUAUCCGCGCGACGGAGAGCCUGAUACCUGAAAGGGAUACCCACCUUGAACCUUUCGGUUCGAGGCAACGUUGACAGCGGCAUCUUGGGGUUACU